rnacentral:rRNA from 1 species
AUGGAGAACCAGUGCCUUCAUACAGCCCUACCUCCAAAACUGUGUGAUGUUACCGUCAUCCACGGCGAAGAAACAAGGGUUCAUCCAAGCGACCUGCACUGGCAUCUCGGCGACCUCCUAAAGAACAAGGACGCAGCAGACCUAACCUUUCAAGUCGGUGGACAGACAUUAUCGGCUCACAGGUGUGUCCUAGCUGCUCGGUCAUCCGUCUUCAAGGCGGAGCUUCUCGGCUCCAUGCAGGAGAGUUCUGCCGCAAGUCCUAUUGAAAUCCGUGACAUGGAAGCUGAUGUGUUCAAGUCCUUGCUCCACUUCAUAUACACCGACUCUGUUCGUCCAGUGCUUGACGUAGUGAUGGCCAGCCAUCUGCUCGUCGCCGCUGACAGGUACAACAUCAUGAGGCUGAAGCAGAUAUGCGAGGAGAAAUUGUGCAAUCACAUUGAUUCCAACAUGGUGGCAACUUAUUUGGCUCUAGCCGAACAACAUGGUUUCAGUCGUCUCAAAGAAGCUUGUUUCCAAUUCCUUGCUUCUCCAUCCAAUUUGGAGGCUAUGAUGGCGAGUGAUGGUUACCAGCAUCUCAAUUCCAGCUGCCCAUCUGUUCUCAAGGAGCUCAUAGCUAGAAUCAUGCCGGCUGAACUGAAUACGGCAAAGGAUAUCAUCAUGAUAUAA